CAGUAGCCGCGGGAAUACGAAGGGGGCUAGCGUUGCUCGGAAUCACUGGGCGUAAAGGGUGCGUAGGCGGGUCUUUAAGUCAGGGGUGAAAUCCUGGAGCUCAACUCCAGAACUGCCUUUGAUACUGAAGAUCUUGAGUUCGGGAGAGGUGAGUGGAACUGCGAGUGUAGAGGUGAAAUUCGUAGAUAUUCGCAAGAACACCAGUGGCGAAGGCGGCUCACUGGCCCGAUACUGACGCUGAGGCACGAAAGCGUGGGGAGCAAAUAGGAUUAGAUACCCGAGUAGUCCCUGUCUCUUAUAC
rnacentral:rRNA from 1 species